AGGAGUAAAAGUUUAUUAAAAAGCUUUAGAGCAGGAACAAAAAGAAGGAAAGUAUGCUUGGAAGAAAGCCAAACAGGCAACUUGAAAGGCAAGUACGCAGCUUGAUAUUUUGACUUGGGGUUUGUUUUUGUUUUGAGACAGAUUCUUGCUCUGUUGCCUAGGCUGGAGUGUAGUAGCGUGAUCUUGGUUUGCAACCUCCACUUCCCAAGUUCAAGCAAUUCUUGUGCCUCAGCCUCCUGAGUAGUUAAUUUUGUUUUUUUUUUUUUUUCUCACCAUGUUGGCCACGCUGGUCUCAAACUCCUGACCUCAGAUGAUCCGCCCGUCUCGGUCCCGCAAAGUGUUGGGAUUACAGGCGUGAGCCACUGUGUGCCUGGCCUUGGGGUUUUAUACAUUGGCUUACUUCUGGGGUCUUGCAUUACUUCUCCCCGAUUCUUCCUUGGGGUGGGCUGUCCGCAUGUGCAUGCUUGAGCCCACUCGCCCCACUCCUGAGAUCUUAUCGGGAAGCUGCUGAUCACUAGUUUCAGGUGUUUUCUAUCAGGAGCCUGCUGUUCCAUGGUGCCAGCUGUGAUCAAUUAUUAUUUUAGUGAGACAUUUAACAACCGCUUGACCAUCACCUGAUGGUUGCCCGACAUUCCUGAUAUAUGUGUGUGGUGGGGAGCCCUCUCCUGCCCUACUCAUUCCUGACUAGCUACCCACUAACAAGAUUGAGAUCUUGGGCAUCGCAGUCUUAUCUAUAGAGAAGUGACUAGCAUGAGAAUAAAGCUGCAAUUUUAAAGAAGUAGUAGUUAUUUGCUUGCGCCAAGAAAAAGGUGUUGUAUUUUGCAGUCAGUAAAGUGAGCUUUUUGUCUGUGCUUAGAAAAGCUUAAUGAAGUGGUUUGCUUUGUAUCAUUGUAUCAUGAUUUCAGAGUGACCUUGUCUGCGGUUGCUAUUUUGUGAGAUUAUUUCUAUUCAAUAGGAGAAUAACAAGGCCUAGCUGUGAGUGCCAGGCCAGCUUCUCAAUGUUAAGGACUCUUUCCUUUUUCUUCUUACAUGUUAGUUUCAUAAUACAUUUUUCAUUCAAAUAUAAUAUACAUACAGAAAAGUACACAAAUUAUAAAUGAAUUUUCAUAAAGUGAACACAUCAGUGUACUAAUGUUCGGCUUAAGAAACAACAUAUCCAACUUCCAGAAGUCCCCUUCAUGCACCCUUCAGAUCACUAAACCUGAGGUUACCCACUAUCCUGAGUCUAACACCACAGAUUAGUUUUGCCUGAUUUUGAAUUUUUUAUGACUAGAAACAUAUGUACUUUUUUGAGUAUAGGCUUAUACGCAACAUUAUGUUUGAGAUUCAUUCUUGUUAUUCUGUGUCAUUGUAAUUAGUUCAUUCUCACUGAUGAAUAGUAUUCCAUCAUGUAAACACACCAGUUUAUCUCCAUUCUAGUGUUGAUGGACAUUCGGGAGCUUCCAGUUUGCAGCAAUUAGGAAUUAGUUCAUUGUGCUGCUAUGAAUGUUCUUGUACAUGUUUUUGGUGAAUGCCAUGUAUAUAUUCCCGCUGGGGAGGAGUCAAAUUGUUGUAUAUUUAUGUUCAGCUUUAGUAGAUAGUGCCAAACAUUUUUCCACAGUGAUUGUAACAAUUUAUGCUCACACCAGCAGUGUGAAAGAAUUCUGGGGGCUCUCUUUCCCAUGUUAUGUAAACUCUUCCAGAAUACAGAAAAAGAUGAAAACUUCUAAAUGCUAAUUCUACAAGGAUUCUAUUACCUUGAUACAAAAUUGAGAAAGUAUAGAAAAGGAAAACUAUAGGUUAAUGACAUCUUUAAAUGGAGCUGUAAAGAUAAUGAAAAGAUUAGCAAACUGAACGUACAAAUUUUUUAAAAAAACAACCAAACCAGGACCAGAAUGGGUUUAUUCCAGGAACAGAAGUAAUGCUCAAAACUAGGAGGUUUUGAAAUAAUGCAUAUUAAUGUAUCAAUGUUAGCUAUUAUAUAAUUCAUUAAAUCCCAAAUUUAUUUUUGUUAAUAUAAUUCAUUAAAAUAGAAUCUGUUAAUAUAAUUCCUUUCGAAGACUAGAGGAGAAAAGCAGAUAAUCUCCAAAGAUGCCAAAAAAGCCAUUGAUUAUAUUCAAUUCUCACUGUAAUAAAAAUUCUAGAAACAGAAAGAUAUAAAAGUCCAUGUUAUCUCUCCUUCAGUCUACUUGUCGGGUUCAUCAUCCAUUAUUACCCCACAUGCAAGCUAACUUCUUUUUCCUUGCUCCUCCAUUUGCUAGCUGUGCAGCCUUUGACAAGUUACUUAACCACUCUGUGCUGAUUUCCUAUGUGUAAAAUAAGAGUACCUACCUUAUGUUGUAAUGUUCAAGUCCUCAAUACAUUAUUCUUAAUCACCUUUUAAUUGCAAGAAUUUGGUCAUUAAACAUCCCUUUGACUGGAUUGCGAGCACCUUGACAGCAGGGACUAACAGUGGAACUUUCUGGAGACUUAAGGAAUGUUUGUUGAAUCCUGAUGCAAGCUUUCUCACCUUCCUGUGUUCUCUCAUUGCUUCCUCAUCCUGUCCAGCCAUCCGUCCACCCGUCGCAAGCCUAACCCCAGUCAAUAACCACUGUUUACAACACUUUCUUUGUACCCUUCUUAUAGUGCUUAUUACAUUGUUUUGAAUACUAAAUGAAUAUAUGGUGCGUCGUUGUGUUUAACAUUUAGGACAUAACCACUCAUAAUGUUACAGUUAAAAAAAAAAGUUUUGUGCAUUCCUCUAGGGCAGAACUGUGCCGUACUUCUGGUUUCACUGCAUAGUGUCUACAAAGUACAGUGUCAAAGACAGCUCGGGAUGAGAACUGGGCUAAGGCGCGCCCCGCAUUAUUCAGGGCCCGGAGAGGUGCAGGCUCCGAAGGUGUGGAGAGCGAAACACGCAGAGAAGUGAUUCCACUCAUCAGUCACACAGUAAGGCGGGACAGCCCCAUCUUGCAGUUUUUCAUUAUUCAACACAGAGCCCAACGCGCAGGCAACAGAUCCGCGCGCAGGGCUGUUUGGGGGCGCUUGGGGCGCACAAUCUGGGGCAGGCGGAACCUUAGUCCUCAGCCCCGCGUUUCCCGCGACUCCGCUCUCACCGCUACACUACCACACAAACGGCCUCCUUCCCCCCACCCCCGGGGGCCCAUCCCGGUGGCGGGCUCCGGAGUUCGGGACUGCUAAUUUCAGCGAAACGAUUAAAAGACGCCCUUACAACUGACGGCACUUUCUCUCCUCCGGCAAGAAAGGACGUCCAGCGUAGCGUCGCCCACGCUUCUCCGCCGGCGCAGAGCAGGCCUCACAGAAGCGCACGCCGCUGGCACGCACGCCGCCCCGCCCUCACGGCCCAGCGCCAGCCGCGCCCCGCGCUCGCACGCAUCCCGGCCUCACUGCCCCUCGACCCCCGUUCCGUUGGAGGGGCCUGAGGCGAGCCUGAGCGCGCUGUUGGCCGGAGGGAAGCCAGAGGAGACCGGGUCGACUGGGCAGAGCGGCAGAGGGUCAAGGACCCUGCUCUGCACGCCCAGAGAGUAGAAGUGGGCUGGGAGCAGGGUUACGUGAGGGAGCGCGCCGCGACUGAGCUUGGGUCCGACUGGAGCUCAGGCUCGCGACCCAGACUGGUGGGCCAGGCCUCCAAGCCGGCCUUACACCUGAUUCAAGGAGGACAGACCGGACACAAAGGGACGGAGCGAGCAAGGAGACAUGGCUUCAUCAUUCCUGCCCGCGGGGGCCACCACCGGCGACAGCGGUGGAGAGCUGAGCUCAGGGGACGACUCCGGGGAGGUGGAGUUCCCCCAUGACCCUGAGAUCGAGGAGACCAGUUGCCUGGCCGAGCUGUUUGAGAAGGCUGCCGCGCACUUGCAAGGCCUGAUUCAGGUGGCCAGCAGGGAGCAGCUCUUGUACCUGUAUGCCAGGUACAAACAGGUCAAAGUUGGAAAUUGUAAUACUCCUAAACCAAGCUUCUUUGAUUUUGAAGGAAAGCAAAAAUGGGAAGCAUGGAAAGCACUUGGUGAUUCAAGCCCCAGCCAAGCAAUGCAGGAAUAUAUCGCAGUAGUUAAAAAACUAGAUCCAGGUUGGAAUCCUCAGAUACCAGAGAAGAAAGGAAAAGAAGCAAAUACUGGUUUUGGUGGGCCAGUUAUUAGUUCUCUAUAUCAUGAAGAAACCAUCAGGGAAGAAGACAAAAAUAUAUUUGAUUACUGCAGGGAAAACAACAUUGACCAUGUAACCAAAGCCAUCAAAUCGAAAAAUGUGGAUGUGAAUGUGAAAGAUGAAGAGGGUAGGGCUCUACUUCACUGGGCCUGUGAUCGAGGACAUAAGGAACUAGUCACAGUCUUGCUACAACAUAGAGCUGACAUUAACUGUCAGGACAAUGAAGGCCAAACAGCUCUACAUUAUGCCUCUGCCUGUGAGUUUCUGGAUAUUGUAGAGCUGCUGCUCCAGUCAGGUGCUGACCCCACUCUCCGAGACCAGGAUGGCUGCCUGCCAGAGGAGGUGACAGGCUGCAAAACAGUUUCUUUGGUGCUGCAGCGGCACACAGCUGGCAAGGCUUAAUCAAAAGACUGGAAAACUGCAGUCUGUAAUAGCAUAAGGCUUCCAUUAUGAAAGAAAACUACAAAAAUAAUACUUCUUUUUCCACCCGUCUUUGACAGGGUCUCGCAAUGUCACCCAGGCUGAAGUGCAGUGGUGUGAUCAUGGUUCACUACAGCCUCAACCUCCUGGGCUCAAGGGAUCCUCCCACCUCAGCCUCCUGUGUAGCUGAGAUAGCUGGGACUACAGCUGAGUAGAAUCCUGGGCCCAAGGGGAAAGGACAGGAAAGCAAUGGAACACCGACUGCGGAGCUUCCGUUUGUUUUCCUGACCCACAGCCUGUCUUGUGGAAUAAAUGAUACAAGCAGUUGAAGAAGGCACACUGUGCACCAAGGGGACGACUCAGGCAGUCUGCAGCGGUGGUCCAGGGCUACUCAGCUCAGCCUCAGUCACCUGCAAUGAAAACCACCUCUUGCCGUCAGAGUCAAUGACUCUGGUUUGUAGGAAAGAAUUCAUAUCUUCACAGCAAAAAUAAAAAUAAAAAAGGAGGGGGCAUGUUUUUAAUAUCAAACUGGCCAUCAAAGUGUUCACUGACCUUUAAUAACUGAUCUUUUCAUUUUGAAAUAUAGGGUUCAAUAAGGAUGGUCCAGAAAUCACUUUUAUUUUACUCAAGGGCUGUGAGGCCUCUACCUCAGGAGUCUCGGUUCUGGUGAGAGCAGUGUUUUGGGAGGCAUUGUGUGAGACAUACCAGUUGGAGCAAAGUUCCCAAAGGCCAAGGGGGCCUAUCACAGUCACCUUGUGCUACCAAAGCACUGAGCAGCCAAGCCCCUAAGCAGAACAGCAGGGGAGAGGCCCAACAAGCCAGUGUCCCUAGAGCUCUAGGCCAUUACCCCCUGUGCUGUGUUCUGAGAUGAGGCUGCUCUCCCACUGCUUCCCCAGGAAAACAAUGCCCUAGUGUGGUCUCACAGCCUUCUAGGAGUCAGCGGAGGACUUCCAUUGAAAAUAAUGGAAAUUCACAUUGGUGUACUUUCGAUCCUUAAAAGGCAAGUCUCUUUUGAUCCUUGAAGAUAUUCUCUCAAGCCAGGCGGGCAGGUAGGGUGGGGAGGAGAGAAGUUUAAAAAGGCGGAUGAUCCAUUUCAUCAAGCCAAGAGCCUGGGCUAGUUGGAAAGUCGGGAUAGCCUACACUGCUUCCUGUGGAGAUGUCAGAGGUGGGUCCCCCAGCCAUGGCUCUCAGCGUCUGGCUUACUCCCUGCCCUGCAUGCGCAAUGAUGCCCAAAUUACUGUCCACCGUGUAAUCCAGCCCAUUGAGCAAAGGAGCAUGGGAUGGCAGGGAUGAUAUGGAGGAUGGAGACUGGGGGAUUCCAUAGGGGCUCCCAUCCCUCAAGUCCUGAUAGGAUUGUCCUGUCCCGUCCAUGGAGAAGCUCCCAUUCAUUAACUGUCCGCCUGUAACGUCCCCCACGUUGCCAUAAAUCCUAUUGGUGUGGCCAAGUUCUGAGAGAAUUUGAUCCUCUGUGGACAAAAGAAGGGAGAUUUAUUGUCAGCUGCCAGGACUCUGAUGGUCCCCUGCUCUUCACAACCUAGGAACACACGUGACCAGGAAAGAUGCCCAAGGAUGGCAGCUGCCUUGCAGCCAAGCAUGGGUCAGACACACCAAUAUGGCAGCUUGACAUCCAGAGCCCAACCCAGUCCAAGGAGAAAAACAAGAAACACCUGCAAAGACUAAAUUCCCAGGUCCCAGAAGGAUGGACAAAUGUUUGGUGAGCUCGUUGGUCCCUUGUGGCUCAUGUACUAAUACUCUGGCUACACUGAGGAGGAUGAAUGCCUAAGGCUGGGUGGGUCAGAUGUCUCCACAUCACAAAUGGAAACUACAUGCUGACAAGAUUUACCCUGAAAGCUUUCAAGCUGAGAAAGGGCUUGGUUUAGUUGGUUGGGAAGCAAGCAGGCCCGUAUGGUCAGGGAAGCUGAGGACCACUGUUAGACAUCUAUACAAAAUCCUUCUGGUCUAUCUGGAAGAGAGGUUCAAUAUCAAAGGACUUGGUUUCUGUCUGUAUUCAGUAAGCACUUCACUGGGGACAAAGAAUUGACUUGAUUAAGGCAAAUGAACCUUCUUUUUUCUUGAAGAAUUUCAUUAAGGGGAUCUAAUGGAAUCUUUGCCACUUGAAAGAAUUCAUCUCUCCAACAGAGGUGAGCAGUUUUAGUCUUUGAGAAAUUAUUCCCAGAGAAACCAAUGAUAGGUCAGCCCAGGGACCCACCUGCACCCAACAGAAAUGAGCUUAACAAUCCAGUAUGUUCUAGGUGUUGACUUCAACAGCCCAGAUGAGAUUAAGUGACUUUCCCAAUCCUGCCAAGAAGCCUAGAAAGUGAGUAUUAGUCCCAUGAGCUGUCCCCAAGGCCUCACGGCCCCUGUGUUCUCAGAGGAGGCUGCCCUCUAGGGCUCAGCUGACCUCUGGGCUGAACUACAGUCCUCCCAGGGCAUCAUGGUCCUGGCAGGCAACUUGUUCCAUCCUCUGUCCCACAUGCUUCCUUUUCUAUUUCUACCUGGGCCUACGCACCAAUCCCUAAAUAAGGCCUCCCCAGACUAGACUUCAACACCCCAUCCCUUCUGAGGCCUGCCCCCCAUUCCCCUUAUGAAAAAACAUGGUGGGGGGAGCUCAUGCUCUUUAAAGGGAGCAGGAAGAUGAAGACUCCACUCCACUGUCAAAUGGCCGUGAGUUAGCCUUUUGCCUAUACCUGUCAUCCCGAAUGACCAGGGCCCUCUGUGGGAGCCACAGGUUCCCUGUGGGAACGAUCAUGCCUUCCAGGUAUACAAAUGUGCCAGGCUUUCCCCAAGCACAUCCACAGUUGGUUGUGUUCAUUGAUCCCCACAACGCGGUGAGAUGGGCAAGGAUGUGGUAUUCCUCUUGGGAAUACUGGGGCUCAAGAGAAGUGAAUCGAUUUGACAGAGCCGCACUGGAAACCAGGUCUCUGAUCGCCAGUUGAGUACUCUUCCCUUUCCCCCCUCAGCAGAAGACCUUCCACAUUUGAGAACUCAGUACCUGAGAACAGUUAAUGAUUCUUUGCAAACAACCUGAAGAUUCACAACAUGCAGUAAUUUACAAUUUUGCUGAUGCACGAAUUUGAAUAUAGCGCAUGCUGCAAAGCUUGUGUGUGGGGGACAGAAUGAAGUGAGUGGUGGAGAAAGGGAUUUCGGAAGUGAAGCCAGUUCCCCAUCUCACAUGCACUCACAGUACUGAUUUCCCAGGAAAAAGCCUGUGGAGUGUGUCCUCCCCACCACCAGGACUGGAGGAAGGGGUGGCUCUAGGGGACUAUGGGAGUAGGCCAGUGUCCCAGCAAAGGGGACAAAGAUGGGAGAGGGGCUAGGGGCACAAGGCUGGGACCCGGUCAUCUGUUCAUAGCUGUGCGGGCUGAUGAGGGAGGCCCCAGUCAGCAGGAGGGGAGGGGAGGCCUUGGGGCCACAGGACAGGGCCUGGCCCAUCCCAGCUUCCAGACCUCAGCAAUCUUGUUUCCUACUCCUGUCCCAUGGUAAAGGGCCACUACCAUUUCCCCCACCCUUCACUGCAAGUCUUAAGGAAAAGCCUGUGUUCAGGAGGGAGUUGCCAAGGCCUCAAGAAAGAUCCCUCCUGAGUGCCAGGGAUUACAGAUUCCCAGGGGACUUUCCUAAGGCCUCGGCCUGGCCCCUCCAGCCCUGCUCACCUCGGAAGCUCAGCUCACUGUCACUAACCCCACAGUCCUCUGCAGAGCUCUCCUUCUCCUGCUUGCUGCCGCCCCGGCUCCUCUUGACACUCUUAUAGAACUGCCCCCAGCGGUGCCGCCCUGCGUCCUUCUUCAGGCGUUUCUCUUUGGCCCUUCUGUUCUGAAACCAAACCUGCCACACAAGCACAAGGGACACACUCAGGGGGCAUCCACCACAAACCCAAAGCCCCCAGGACCCCUAGGCGGGCGGCUGGAAGCCGACGGAAGCCUGAAUGGAGCACAGGUCUGGGAGUGCGAUGUGCCCCACCCCCUCUCCCCAGGUGGGCCUCAGAAUUCUGUCUUCAGUUCUGGCAAAAGCCCUGGGGUCAGGCCCUGAGCCCCACCACCCGUGAGCUGAUGUCACUCAGGACACCUUCCACCCCUGUCCUGGGCCUGGGAUCCCCGGAGGGCACAGGAGUGCUGGCAUCUCACCUGUACGACCCUCAUGUCCAGGCCUGUCUCUGAGGACAGCUGCUCCCUCACGUGCCGGGCAGGCUUGGGGGAGUUCUUGUAUGCAUUCUUUAAUGUCUCCAGCUGCUUGGCUGUGAUGGUGGUCCGGGGCCGCUUAGCUCCAGCCUCUGAGUCAUCUGCAAGGAAAAGCCACUGCUUACUGGCUUUGGCCUAUCUGCAGCAGCUGCACCUCCUCCCACACUUUCUCCACUCAGCUCCUUUCUCCUUUCUCCACUCAGCUCCCUGCCUUUCUCCACUCAGCUCCCUGCCUCUCCCCUCCACUGCCAGCCCAGCUGCACAGAAGUCUCAUCAAAUUGAAUGAAAUUUGAAGUCUCAUCAAAUGAAAUUUGAAGUCUCAUCAAAUUGAAUGAAUGUACCCAAUUCCACACAUGUCCCCGUCAUGACAAACACUCUGCUCACACAUCCUCAUGAGUUCUUGCCAGAGCUGUGAAGGUGAACAGCCAGGUUGAAGUCGUGUUCAAAGCCGCCCCAGAUGGCCUCCCCUCUGUCUCAUUGGGAGUCUCCCAUUUCCCCACAGCCAUGUCACCUUUGCCUUGGCGUUGCUGGGCUCACAGCCAGGGGUGAGCAUGCACACCCAGCAGUGUCUAAACAGGUUUCUAAACUAUGGGUCAGAACCCACUCGUGGGCUGUAAAGUCACUUGGUGGAUCAAAACUAAAAGAGGAAAUCAGAUGAAGAGAAUGGAAUGGAAUGGCAAGAUCAUUUCAUUAAACCUUAGGUUUUAUUGUAUGAAUGUGUGUACUGAGAUGAAAUGUAAAAUGAGUUUUACUGUGGAUUGUAGUCAAAAUGUUUUGAGAAAACUAGUCUAAGGAAUGUUCUGGGCAACACACUGACUGAUCAACACAAAGUCCUCGACAGAUUUUGAGUGAACAAGCUCAAGUUCCUGUUAGUUAAAGUCUGGUCUGUUCCAUUCAAAGUCAGGUACAGAGAGAGGCGCGUGGGUGUGUUCGGAAGCACAGGUGAAUGUAAAGGUUUGUUUCCUCUCCCAGCACUUAGGUUUACUGCCCUUUUCUCCACAGUGCCCCUGGAGGACACACAGAAUAAAGUCAGCAGCUGGCCUGGGCAGCUCUGCUCUCUGUGCUUGCUCACCUGUGUGCCCCAGAAAGUGUCUCUGUGACAUUCCUGACUUCCUCUCUGUCUUUUCUCCUUUCUUUCCAUUCAAGAAAACCCUCUCUUAGAAACAAUAAUAGCCAACAUGUGUUAGCACCUACCAUGUGCUGGUGUUGACUAAGGACUUUAUAUGCAUUCGGUCCUCACAAUCUACAAGGCUCUCCCUGGAGUCAGCAGACCUGGCUUCAAUGUUCUUGAUGAGUGAGUGACUUGGGCCAGUAACUCACUUCCCCCUUGGAAGUCCAGAGGGCAACACGGCCUUCCCUGGUCUUGGGAGGCACUAGAGGAAUGAAGCAGCUGUGCGGCCAGGACAUGCGUGCGCACAGUGAGGGGGGACACACCCGUGCCUUCCCUUCUCCUCGGGCUGUUUUCUUCUCUCACGUGGCCACUGUCAUCCCAGAACUACUGUGGCCCAACUCCCUCCCUGAAGCCCUGAAGCCCUGAACCCGAAGGGUAGGGAUUCCGAAGCCCCUGCUGCAGAGACUACACUACUUAGAGAGUCAUUCCAAAAGACAAAGAGGAACCUCCAAAAUGCCUUCCUUUUCAUUCUGAGGAGUCUGACCCUUCUGUGCAUAUUUAUAGUCUACACGGGAGUGUCUGAUGCAACUUUGAAUUAUGCAAAUGGGAAAUAGUGCACUUGUAUACAAUCUUUAUAUUAAAAAAUGUGAAAUAAUGCAAUCACCAAAAA